rnacentral:rRNA from 1 species
CCUACGGGAGGCAGCAGUGGGGGAUAUUGGACAAUGGGGGAAACCCUGAUCCAGCGACGCCGCGUGAGUGAAGAAGUAUUUCGGUAUGUAAAGCUCUAUCAGCAGGGAAGAAAGAAAUGACGGUACCUGAGUAAGAAGCCCCGGCUAACUACGUGCCAGCAGCCGCGGGAAUACGUAGGGGGCAAGCGUUAUCCGGAAUGACUGGGUGUAAAGGGAGCGUAGACGGUAAUGCAAGUCUGGAGUGAAAGGCGGGGGCCCAACCCCCGGACUGCUCUGGAAACUGUGUAACUGGAGUGCAGGAGAGGCAGGCGGAAUUCCUAGUGUAGCGGUGAAAUGCGUAGAUAUUAGGAGGAACACCAGUGGCGAAGGCGGCCUGCUGGACUGUAACUGACGUUGAGGCUCGAAAGCGUGGGGAGCAAACAGGAUUAGAUACCCGAGUAGUC